CGGACAUAUGACGUUGAUACACCGGUUUCUGUAGAUCACCAAAGUUAAGCAACGUCGAGCCUGGUCAGUACUGAGAUGAUUGACCGCUUUGGAAUACCAGGCGCUGUAAG